AAUGGUAUAGUUCAGUUGGUUAGAACAUUGGGAUCAUAAUCCAAAUGUCGGGAGUUCAAAUCUCUCUUCCAUUA
rnacentral:tRNA from 1 species